GGGGUUGUAGCUCAGUGGUAGAGUGCUCGCCUAGCAUGUGUGAGGCACUGGGUUCAAUCCUCAGCACCACA
rnacentral:tRNA from 1 species